GACGAACGCUGGCGGCGUGCUUAACACAUGCAAGUCGAACGGAAAGACCCUGCUUUUGUGGGGUGCUCGAGUGGCGAACGGGUGAGUAACACGUGAGUAACCUGCCCUUGACUUUGGGAUAACUUCAGGAAACUGGGGCUAAUACCGGAUAGGAGCUCCUGCUGCAUGGUGGGGGUUGGAAAGUUUCGGCGGUUGGGGAUGGACUCGCGGCUUAUCAGCUUGUUGGUGGGGUAGUGGCUUACCAAGGCUUUGACGGGUAGCCGGCCUGAGAGGGUGAACGGCCACAUUGGGACUGAGAUACGGACCAGACGCCUACGGGAGGCAGCAGUGGGGAAUAUGGCACAAUGGGCGGAAGCCUGAUGCAGCAACGCCGCGUGCGGGAUGACGGCCUUCGGGUUGUAAACCGCUUUCGCCUGUGACGAAGCGUGAGUGACGGUAAUGGGUAAAGAAGCACCGGCUAACUACGUG
rnacentral:rRNA from 1 species